AUGAACGCUGGCGGCGUGCCUAAUACAUGCAAGUCGAGCGAACAGACGAGGAGCUUGCUCCUCUGACGUUAGCGGCGGACGGGUGAGUAACACGUGGAUAACCUACCUAUAAGACUGGGAUAACUUCGGGAAACCGGAGCUAAUACCGGAUAAUAUAUUGAACCGCAUGGUUCAAUAGUGAAAGACGGUUUUGCUGUCACUUAUAGAUGGAUCCGCGCCGCAUUAGCUAGUUGGUAAGGUAACGGCUUACCAAGGCAACGAUGCGUAGCCGACCUGAGAGGGUGAUCGGCCACACUGGAACUGAGACACGGUCCAGACUCCUACGGGAGGCAGCAGUAGGGAAUCUUCCGCAAUGAGCGAAAGCCUGACGGAGCAACGCCGCGUGAGUGAUGAAGGUCUUCGGAUCGUAAAACUCUGUUAUUAGGGAAGAACAAAUGUGUAAGUAACUAUGCACGUCUUGACGGUACCUAAUCAGAAAGCCACGGCUAACUACGUG
rnacentral:rRNA from 1 species